AACUUUUGACAACGGAUCUCUUGGCUCUGGCAUCGAUGAAGAACGCAGCGAAAUGCGAUAAGUAUUGUGAAUUGCAGAAUCCAGUGAAUCAUCGAAUCUUUGAACGCACAUUGCGCCCGCCGGUACUCCGGCGGGCAUGCCUGUUCGAGCGUCAUUUCAACCCUCAAGCCCCCGCGGCUUGGUUCUGGGGCGCCCCGUCACUGGGGGGUUCUCAAAUUUAUAGGCGGGUCACCGCAGGCUCUCAGCGUAGUAACUUGCUUUCUCGCUGGGUCAGCCCCAGGUACUCCAGCCUCUAAACCCAAUUUUUUCAAUACAAGGUUGACCUCGGAUCAGGUAGGAAUACCCGCUGAAUUUAAGCAUAUCAAUAAGCGGAGGCU
rnacentral:misc_RNA from 1 species